UUAACUUCUCUUUUAUUUGGACUCUUUGGUCCAAGCAAUAAUGUAAGCUUCGCUCUAUAUAAUAAGCUUAUAACCUAAACUGUCCAGCAAAUUAAACAUACACUUCACACACAAGGCUUCUUGUUUUUGUAGUAGUUUCAUGGCAGCUUGAGUUUCUAUCUCUUCUUCCAAACCCUAGCUUAUAUAAUUAAACACUCGCAGUCUCUCUCUCUCUCUCUCUCUCUCUCUCUCUCUCUCUCGCUCUCUGGCUAGCUAGCUUAGCAACAACAUGGCUGCAGGCUUGGGAGCCAAGAGCAACAACAAUACUGACCCUCAAAACCAAAAAACUCUUGCGGAUUUUGAUCCCCAAAAGAAACCAAAAAGAAAUCUGUAUGCCUCCGGCGCUGCCAUUUUGGCUUCCAUGACUUCAAUCUUACUAGGUUAUGGUAAGUUAACUUUGCAAGAACCCUUUCUUGUAUCUAUAUCUAUAAGUUUGCUUUACAUCGUGAUUCACGAAACAUGCAUCAUGGAGAUGGAAGUAAUAAGGUUUCUUUGUGAAGAAAAUCUUCUCAGAAAGUGGAUAAGUUUUGUGUGGGUGUUAGUCGGUUUAACAGAAAAAAAUCUGUUUAAAUUAGUAUAAGAAAUUAAGAGUUCGAAUCUCGCUGUCAUAAGAUUUUAUUUCAUGCAUGCGUAAUUGGUUCUGCAUGCAUAAAUUAAUUAAGUUUUUUUUUUUUUUGGUAUUCUUUUCUCGUAGACAUUGGAGUAAUGAGUGGAGCUGCACUCUACAUCAAAGACGACUUUAAAGUCAGUGACACACAAAUCGAGAUCUUAAUUGGAAUCUUGAAUAUUUACUCACUCAUCGGCUCACUGGCCGCCGGCAGAACCUCCGACUGGAUUGGCCGCCGGUACACUAUAGUGUUAGCCGGGGCCAUCUUCUUCGCCGGAGCGCUGCUCAUGGGGUUCGCCACAAACUAUGCUUUCCUCAUGGGGGGUCGCUUCGUCGCCGGUGUCGGCGUCGGAUACGCUCUCAUGAUCGCUCCCGUUUACACAGCUGAACUCUCUCCGGCUUCCACUCGAGGCUUUCUCACCUCAUUUCCUGAGGUUUGUGCUUCUUCUUCUUGUUUUUGGAAAUGGCUUUCUUGUUUCUUAAAACAGAAUUAAUUUUGAACGGAUGAUACUUUUACUUUCCAAAGUUUUGAAGUACAACCCUUCAAAACACUCAAAUGAGUAACGGUAUAAAUGCGUUUCGCUUUUUUUGUAUUUUAAGAUUUUAUCGUCUAAAUCCGUGACGUACUGACGUAUUAAUUAAAUAAAGUAAUCUCUAGUCUCCUCACUAGUGUUAGGACCUAUCUUAAAAACCAAGCUAAUAUUUGAUCCUUAACUAAAUAUAAUAAAAUAUAAGGGGUUUAAUGAUAUUAUCCUCUUUUCAACGUUUCAGGUUUUCAUUAACGGCGGGAUAUUACUUGGCUACGUCUCGAACUACGGAUUCUCCAAACUACCCCUCCACUUAGGCUGGCGCAUGAUGCUCGGAAUCGGCGCCAUUCCGUCGGUGCUUCUCGCCGUCGGCGUGUUAGCCAUGCCAGAAUCUCCGCGCUGGCUGGUGAUGCAAGGCCGACUCGCCGAUGCAAAGAAAGUUCUCGACAAAACCUCGGACUCGAAAGAGGAGUCUAUGCUCAGACUCGCCGAUAUCAAAGAAGCAGCCGGCAUUCCUGAAGACUGCAACGACGACGUCGUUCAAGUACCGAAAAUCAACCGUGGCGAAGGCGUAUGGAAAGAGCUGCUGGUCCGUCCUACACCGGCCGUUCGUCACAUCAUAGUCGCAGCCGUUGGUAUUCAUUUCUUCCAACAAGCAUCCGGCAUAGACGCUGUCGUUCUGUACAGUCCUAGAAUCUUUGAAAAAGCUGGGAUUGCGUCAUCAGACAAAAAGUUACUCGCUACUGUAGCCGUUGGAUUUGUCAAGACCACUUUCAUCCUAGUGGCUACGUUUUUACUCGACAAAAUCGGACGGCGUCCGUUGCUUUUGAGCAGUGUUGCGGGCAUGAUCGCCUCGCUCGCGACCCUUGCUAUCUCUCUCACAGUCAUAGAUCAGUCACACAAGAAGAUGAUCUGGGCUAUUGGUUUGGCCAUCUCAACGGUUUUAUCCUACGUGGCGUUUUUCUCAAUCGGGAUGGGUCCCAUCACGUGGGUUUACAGUUCAGAGAUUCUGCCGUUGAAGCUACGCGCUCAGGGAGCGAGUAUCGGGGUCAUGGUGAACAGGGUAACAAGUGGGGUCGUAUCGAUGACUUUCCUAUCGCUUAGUAAAGCGAUCACGAUUGGCGGCUCCUUCUUUCUAUACGCGUCAAUUGCAUCAGUUGCGUGGGUGUUUUUCUACACGUGUCUCCCCGAAACGCAGGGUAAAACCCUUGAAGAGAUGGGGGCGCUCUUUGGUAAUUUCCGUUGGCUGAGGGAUUCCAAGAGAGAGAAGAGGAGGAACAAAGCCAACGAGAUUAACGGUGACGGUGCGAGUAACGUUCAGUUAGGGCCGGUUUCUAACGGUAACUGAAGGGUAUUUUAGUAAAUACGAUGCUUUUUAAAAUCUUGGUAUAGCUUUGUGAAAUGAAUACUGUGUCGCGGUGUGUGUGUGCUGAUCACUAAUGGGCGAUUGAAGAAGUCAUUAUGCAAUGAAAAUGAAGCACUAUGAAUCAAAUAGAUAUAAUACUUCUUAUAAUUCCUGUCUCUUUAAAAUUUGCGUGAAUGGUUAAAAUUUUGGUUCGCAUUGCAAUGAUGAUUCUAAUGCCUCAAUUGUCAUUCUGGACUUGAGCAAAAAUCUUAUGCCUAAAACUUUUUGUAAUCGUAUUUAAUUCGAUAGACAUAUUCAAGGUUGUUUAUUUGAUUCGAUUGACAUAAUGUGACUAAAUUUCUAUGUAAGUAGUAACCAAAGAACGUAAUUGUACUUCAAUAGCUCUUGUUAUAAUGAUUAAUGAAUUAGUGGAAAUGGCAAAAUAAAUUAUGAGGAAGUGGGAAAGCUCCAAUUAUUGAGGAGAUAGAUAUAUGUUGUGAUCAACAAAGUGUCUUUGUGCAUGCAUUUGGGGCUGAAAUUGCCAUGCUCUUGGACACUUCAUUGUUGGUGGUAAAUGGUGAUGGUUAUUUUUCUUUUUUGUUUAAGAAAUUAUUAUAAUAUUUGCUUGGCUAUGCCCUUUCUUACCUAUAAAUUUUCGUCUUCUUAUAAUAAAAGAGAUUAGUUUAUGUUAUGUGGCUUUUAGAAUAAGAGGUCCAUUCGUGCAUAUGUCGACGGUCGAUUGAAUUGACUACUUAUGAAGUUUAUUUGAAGUAGAAACAAAGAGACCUCGCAAUAUUUAUGCAUGUUGCCUUUUCCUAGUUUAGUUUGUAAAUUCGGGAAUCAUGAUAUAUUGACAUGUUUAUAAUACAAUUUCGGACAUGGGCUUUUUGAUUGGUCCCCUCCAAAAAAGGCGUAAUUAUUAAUUUAUUUUUUUUCUUGGUGUGUGAAUUGUGAAAUGCGUGAUCAAAACAAGCUGACGCUGUAAAUUAAGUAACCUUCUUUGGUUUUUUAGGUAAGACAAUAGUUUUAACUUUGAAGGUUUUCAAUUCCUUGGAAAUUUGUCUUAAUAAAACUUACCCAUAUAAGUUGUGCAUUUUGAAGCGACAUAACAGGAAAAGAUUUCAGUACAUAAUAAGGUCUACAAAGUAACAAGAUUUUCAUAUUUUUUUUUAAAUAAAACAAAUGUACAUGCAAACAUACGACCCUAAUUACCAAAACCAAGAGAUGAAAAUGCAAGAUACGAGCGCCCGUAAGCGAUCAAAUAAUGAGGCAUUUGAUGUGGUGUUUUCAAUACAUGGAUCAGCGCAUAAUCGGUCUGUGCUGGGAAUUUCAAUCUCAUUCUGACACAGCACCUGCGUGAUAUCUUGAGAGAUCACGUUUCAGGGACCCAUCAUCCUAAUUAUUAUAUACCGUCCAUGCAUUAAUGUUAAUAUGCCCACUGAUGAAUGGUUUUGCAGCUUGAGUAAGACGGUGGCAAUUGGCAAAUCCUACACGUUUUUUUUGUCACUCUAUUAUCAUUUAUCACUAGGACAAAGUAACGAACACCGACAUCAGACUGGCCUCUUGUCUUAUAAAGGAAAGAGUUUUGAUAUUUACCCCGGGUCAAACCCCGAAACUAAACAAAACGACGCCGUUUGGUUUUUUUUUUUUUUCUCUAAAACGUUGCCGUUUGACUUAGCAUUUGCAAAAUGACUCUGCAGAAUCCUUGCGUCUCUCUUCUUCUUUGUUCGACUUAACAACUGUUUUUCUCUUCAUCAUCUUCGUCUUAAGUUGUGAUCUUUCUCUUACAAAGAACGCACUCAUUUAAUGAAGAAUGUGAUUAACAGUAGCUGCAAAAUUUAUCCGUGAAAGCUGAGUUUCGGUUACUAAGCUGAGUUUCAGCGGAACAAGAUCAACAGCGGCUGUGAAGUUUCGGCAGAACAAGAUUAACUGAGUAUUUGUUUCUAUAUUGCAUUUUGAAUGUUGAUUAAUGAGUUGGGCAUUUGUUUGUAUAUCCCAGCCUUAUACUGCAAUGCUUUUACAAAGGUUGAAUUUGGAGAUGCAGAAAUCGACUACUCACAAUAAAUGAAUCUCAAAUUAAUAAUUUUACCGCGAAUUAGGAAGUACAAUCAACCCAGCAUAAGAAUCCAAAACUUUAAACCACCACAAUUUCCUCACUUUAUCUGCUACAAGCAUAGCAUGAAAAUGAACAAAAGCAUGUGAGGCAUCACCCAUAACAGCCUCUUUAGACAGAUUCUGCAGCUACUCAUAUCAGUCAGAUAUACAUGCACAAGUGCGUGGGUGUGUAAACACACAGAGAGAGAGAGAGAGAGAGGGCAAAUUAUCCUGAGUUAGAAAUUAUCCUGUUUCUCCAUUAUUUCGAGAUGUUUUUUUUACGGGAGAGAGUUGAACACAACAAUACUCAGAGGUAGGGGUGGGCAUUUUACCCGAUCCGACCCGACCCGACCCGAUAAAUUUCGGGUUCGGGUCGGAUCGGGUCGGGAUUGAAACCCGAUCGGAUUGAAACUUACAAACCCGAUAGGGUUGUGAUCGGUUCGGGUCAAACCCGACCCGAUCCGAAUACCCGAUCGGGUUCCCAAAAAAAAAAAAAAUUGAUUUCUGGCAUGUGUCUGUACUCUUUAUUGAGCAUAUUUCCCUCUCCAUUCUCCAACAGCAAUCGAAUCACACCAAUAACCAAUCCAAAAAGUUGGCAGCCAUUCUGUCAAAAUUCUUCUCAAAGACAUUUUAAAUUUUAAUAAAGAAAAUAAAGUUGCCUUGGAUGGCAUUUUGCAAGUGCAAUGAUGACUGAAGCAAUCCUCACCCUUUUCUGUUUUUGUCCAAUUUAAUCAUUCAAAAGAGAUCUUAUCAUCUACCCAACGCCAAGCAAUUGAUAAAUUUCGAGCAUUUGACAAAUUGUUUAAGAACAGAACAAUUUCUUUUUGGAGGAAAAAAAAAAAAACAAAAAGGGGAGAGACCGAGAGAGGAUGAGAAAGAAACAAAGAAAGAAAUUUGUCACGGGAAACAAAUUUGAAUUUGUCAUGCUGCUGCACAGCACACACACAGAACACUAGAACAGAAGUCACAAGCUGCCAGCCACUGAGCCACACACACAUAGUCACAUACGCUGCUGCACACAUAGAACUAUAGAAGCCACAAGCUGCACACUGCACAGCACACACAAGUCACAAGCUGCACAGCACACACACUGACACUGUGACACACACGCUGCAAGUGCACAGCACACACACACACACGCUGCACUCAACAAUUCACUCGCAAAGACGCAAACCUAACACACACACACGCUGCCUGUCAGCCACAACUUCACAAAUCACAAACACAAACACAAACAAUGAAACAACUGAACAAGGCAGCCGCAACCCGCAACCCGCAACCCGCAAGUCUGCAACCAGCCACCACAAGACGCGAUCUGUUGCUGCCAACUGCUGAAAUCACGAUCUGUUGCUGCCAAGUGAAGUCGCGACCAGCUGCUGCCAAGUCAAACCCGUCCAGCCGUGAGUCGUGAGCCGCCCGCAUCUCCGAGAUCUGCUGCUGCCAACUCCCAAGUGAAGCCGCGAUCUGCUGCCAAGUGAAAUCCCGUCCGUCCAGCCGUGAGCCGUGGCCACCGAUCUGCUGCUUGAAGGCCGAAUCCUCUCCACCCGAACCCGAUUUUGAAGCUUUCCGGUUUCCACCUUCCACUUUCAAGCUUCAAGCCUUCAACCUUUUGACCCGUUUCCUAAGUGUUUCCUGUUUCGUUUCAUGGUAUAUAUACACUAUAUAAUUAAUUAAUUAUAUAUGCUAAAUAGUUUAUUAUGUAAUUUAGUAAUUGUUUAUUAUUUAAUUGUUGUAAUGAACGAAUUAUGUAUUUAUAAAUAUUAGUAAUAAAAUCAAGGAAAUUUUGUUAAUUAUUGAGCUCACAAGAAAUUAUUUUUUUUCAUAUAUAAAAAGGAAUUGUCGAUUGGUGGGUUUUGUUAAUUGAUAAUUGAUAAUUGUUAAUAAUUGUUAAUAAUAGUUAAUAAUUGAAAUAAUAUUAAUUGAUAAUUGUUAAUAAUUGUUAACAAUAAUUAAUAAUUGAUUUUUUUAUGAAUAAAUUAGCACAUUAGGUAGAUUAAAUAUUAAAAUUAAGUAUUAUGUUGUAUAUGUUUUAUAAUUAUAAUGUGUUUAUGUUAUGUAAUUAUGUGUACUUGUGCAGUAGCGUCAAGCUUUCAACCCUAAACAAAUUAAUAAAUUCAAUUAAUAUUAUAUUAUAUGUUAAUCAUCCGUUAAGUUGUUAAGUACAAGUAACUUGGACUUGAAAUUAAAGGAUUUAAUUUAUAAUAAAAAAUAAGAUAUAGAUAGACAAAUAAUAUCAUAUUAUUUAUUAUGGGAAAUGGGUAAUUGGAUAUUAUAUAUUAUAUUAAAAUUAAGUAUCAUGAAUUUCUUACUUUUUGUUUAUGGAGCAUGAACAACUUGAAUUGAAAUUACUAAUUUUUGUUUAUGGAUUAUGUUAAUAAUAUUUAUGUGUUUUGAUUUUUGAAUUAAUAAUAACAUUUUCUUUUCUUUUUUUAGUUGAAAAUUAGUAAAAAUGACUACAAUUAAGAAAAAUGUCUUAAAACUUUCAUAAAAACUACAAUAAUAGGAAAAAAAAGAGCUCAAAAUUGUAUUAACCGAAUUUGACCCGAAUUGACCCGAAUGGACCCGACCCGAAUUGACCCGAAUUGACCCGAAUUGACCCGAACUGACCCGAAUUGACCCGAACUCAAUCCAACUCAUUUUAAAUCCAACCCGAUCCAACCCGAACAUAACCCGAAUUAUUGACCCGACCCGAACCGACCCGAACUAUGUUCGGGUCGGGUCAAUAAUUCGGGUUAUGUUCGGGUUGGUUCUUGUCUAACCCGAACAACCCGAAACCCGAUCGGGUUGACCCGAACCCGAUUUUGCCCACCCAUACUCAGAGGAGGGUUUGCGAAAAAGAUGAAGAAAUAGAUUUAUGAAUGAGAGGGAGGGAUGAGGGUUUUUUGCAGAGUGUUGCACCAGUUUGUGCAGUAAUCUUUGAAGGUAAGUGUUUGCGAUUUCUUGCGGGAGAAAAGAAAAGCAAAGGAUCUUGGCAUCUUUGAAGAAGAUGAUGAUUUGAACUUGAUGUGAGCAAAUUUGUUGUUUCUUCAUAAGUAGCCAGAGAAAAUGAUACAGGAAAGAGUUAAGUGAAAGAUGGGAAACGAAGAAGUAAAGGGGAAAUAGGCAAGCAAAACGCGCCGUUCCUUGACUUUAGUUGUGAAACGGUGCGUUUUGAGUUUUCGGGGUUUGACCCGGGGCAAACAUCAUUUUCCUAAAGGAAAACACUACACUGGAGUAUCUCUAACCAAUACAACGAAAAGGUUCGAUAAAAAAUAAUGUCAUGUUAGUUGUAUAUGUAUGAUCAAAUUCACACCUUCUUUCACCUGCUGAUGCAGUAAGCCGUAGAAGUGUGAUUGAUCAAUCGACACUAAAUAUUAUAUCUAUACUGUUGGGGAAAAAUAUAGGUUUUUAAAUUUUUAUAAAACCUUUUUAAGAUCGCUCUCAUAUAAUAUAUAAGAAUACGUAAUCUAGAAAUCGUACCUUAAAAAUUCGAUUUGACUUUUUCCGCUGAAGUGAUUUAGGCUCUCAGAUCACGAUCCGUCACCACCACUCCUGUUAGAUCACGAUCCGUCACCACCACGCUUGUUAGAACACGAACUGGCACCAAUGAUCUUCUAGGUUAUGACUCAGGUUUGAUCUGCACUUGACUUGUGGGCGCCUUUAUCACUACCAAAGCAACUAGCAUGAGAAAAUUUUUCUCUCAACAAUAGAGAGAAAAAUCUUUUUCUCUGAUCUGUAUAAAGUGGCUGCUCACCUUUUUCUUUAGAGAAAAUAAGUCUUUUUAUAUCUCCUUUUAGUGAAAACCCUAGGCUCCAAAUAAUGAAAAACAAAACUUACGUUACUUGCUUUUUCUAUAGGGGACCCACCUUGUCAAAUAACAUAAGGCCCCUUACAUACAAGCUAAUUAAAUGGAGCCUCCCACUAAAUGAUAUAUUUAGGCUUUUGACCCAAAUAGCUAGUUAUCUUACUUAUUAAUCCAGUAGUGGUGCAAUCAAUUAAAUGAGCUAACCCGGGGAUCAUUUGGGAACAUACAAUAGUGGCUACAAUAAUUAGGCCUGUAAUUAAACUAGCCUAAUUAUUUAAUUCCAAAUCUACUCCACUAAAAGAUUGGAUCUGACUUCCAUAAUUGUAUGCUCGAAUAAUAAUUCGUCCCAAGCCAUAUUGAUUUCUUUACUGCACAAUCAUUUGUACUACAUCGUUAAUUAAAUUGAUAUCUCAACUGUCCAAUCAAUUUAAUAACAUCUUAUUCCUUGAUACUUACUGGUUUUCUCUAAUGAUCAUUUUCAGAAAAAAUAUUUAUUACAAUUAAAUAAACACAUAUGCUUUUAAAGAGCAUAUUUUCCCAACAAUCUCCCACCAGCUCUUAAAGCAUAUCUGGCAUAUUGCACAUGCUCUAGGGCUCUAAGUGCAGGUUAUAAAGGUUUCCCACUAAUGGUCAUUGUAAUAAGAUCUGCCGUUUAGCAUCUAAUGCCACUUGUGGUACUAUUAUAUAACCUUUCUACACUAUUCCCUUAUAAGAUGAUACUUCCUCUCAAUAUGUUUUUGUUUCUUGUGGUUCCUUAAAUUGAGCUACCGCACCACUAUUAUCGCAAAAUAGUUUAAGGGGUGCAGUUACAACAGGUACCACCUUAAGAUCUUGUAGGAACUUGCGGAGCCAUACAACUUCUUUUGCAGCUUCGGAUGCAGCCACAUAUUCAGCUUCAGUUGUGGAGUCUGCGAUACAAGAUUGUUUCACACUCCUCUAACUAAUAGCUCCACUUCCCAAUGUAAAAACAUAGCCGGAAGUUGAUUUUUUGAAAUCCUUAUUUGACAUAAAGUCAAAAUCAGUAUAACCCACUGGAAUAAGUUCAUCACUAGAAUACACAAGCAUAUAAUUUUUAGUUCUUUUCAUAUACUUUGUAAUAUGCUCGACUGCAUUCCAGUAUUGAGGUCCAGGAUUAAAUUGAUAUCUGCAAACCAUCCAUACCGUAAAAUAGACGUCUGGCCUGGUGUAAAACAUGACAUACAUGAGACUUCCCACAGCUUCUGCAUAGGGAACUCGUCUCAUUCUCUCUAUCUCUUCAGAUAUUUUAGGUGAUUGAUCAUUAGAGAAUGUAAUUCCACGUCUGAAUGGUAAUAAACCAGUAUUGGAAUUUUCCAUGCUAAAUCUAGCCAAUAUCUUAUCGAUAUAGACCGCUUGAGACAAUGCUAAAGUUUUAUUUUUCCGGUCUCGUAGUAACUUGAUACCAAGAAUAUAACUUGCCUCUCUCAGGUCUUUGAUAUCAAAUUGUUUUGCUAACCAACUCUUUAUUGUAGUCAAUACUCCUAUAUCGUUUCCAAUUAGGAGAAUAUCGUCUACAUAAGGAAUUAGGAAGGUUAUAUAUUUUUCUUGAAUUUUCUUAUACACACAUGGUUCAUCAAUGUUCUGAAUGAAUCCAAACGAUUUAAUCGCUUGAUUAAAUCUGAUGUUCCAUGACCGGGAUGCUUGCUUCAAUCCAUAAAUGGAUCUCUACAACUUACAUACCAUGUGUUCUUGGCCUUUUGUAUAAAUCCAUUUGGUUGCUGCAUGUAGAUGUUUUCUUCAAGAUACCCGUUAAGAAAGGCAGUCUUGACAUCCAUUUGCCAAAUUUCAUAAUCUAGCACUGCAGCAAUAGAGAGCAGAAUCCUGAUGGAUUUAAGCAUAGCAACCAGAGAAAAAGUUUCCUCCUAAUCGAUUCCCUCUUUUUGAGUAAACUCUUUGGCUACUAAUAUUGCUUUAAAUAUUUCCACCAUUCCGUCUAGUCCUCUUUUUCUCUUAUAGAUCCACUUGCACCCUAUAGGUUUUACCCCAUUUGGUGCCUCUACAAGUUCCCAGACUUUAUUAGAAUACAUAGAUUCAAUUUCUUAAUUCAUGGCCUUUUUCCAAAAUUCAACAUCUCUAUCUAUUAUAGCUUCGUUGUAACUAGUGGGAUCUUGUACAUGUUCAUCUGAGAUAGCCGUAUAGGUUUCUCCUAAAAACAUGUAUCUCGCAGGUAACCUAGUUACCCUCCCACUACGACGAGGUUCUAAAAGUGAUGGUUGCUCAGGGAUAAUCCUGUGUUGAUCAUUUGGUUGUUGCUGUUCUUCCUGUUUUGUAAUAGGCGUUGAAAGCUGAGCAUCAACCUGAUCACCUUUUUUUAUUUCUCUAGUUUUACCUUACUCUUAGGUAAGAAGUCAUUAUAUAGUCUUCCUCAAAGAAAGUAAAAAAUAUGUCCACAAAUACAUUCCUAUCUUGAGGACUAUAAUUCAGACUUUCCCUUAUUCCAUUAAGAUACCUUAAACAUGCAAGCUUCUGAACACAAAUCCAUCUUCUCUACCUCUGAUUCUAGUAGAAAUACUAGUAAACUCCAAAUACGAAUGUGUCUCAAACCAUGUUUGUGACUUUUUCAUAAUUUCUUAGAGUAGUAGACACUGAGAUAGAUGAAACUAAGUUCAAUAAACUUUGUAGUAUUAAAUAUUAGUAUCUGGAAUCAAAAGGUAAAUGAUAAACCACUUAGUAUAUAUCUUGUUUUAUCCAAAAGAAUCUUGUUUCUCCAUUUAAUUAAACUAUUGUAUCAUAGUGUUCAUUAACAACCAAAUAGUGCUUGAAUUCUCCAUAGAGAUAUUCUUUGUUUCGAUCAUAUCGAAGUUCUUUUAUGUUCCUGUCUAAUUGCUUCUAUCUUAUCCACGUACUCUUUUGAAUUUCAAAAGCAAUGGAAUCAUGACGCAUUUAAACAAACAUAAAUAAAAUGAAUAUUCAUCAACAAGAUUGAUAGAAUAUUCAUAACCUCUUAUAACAUGUAAACUUAUUAGUCCAUAUACAUUUGUAUGCGCUAAAUCAUCAAAUACAAUGUUAUGCUUUUAGCUCUAAACGAGCAUCUUCGUCAUAUUACUUUUCUAAAUAAGAUUUAUAGAGUUACAAUGAUCAAUCUUAAUAGGCCAACAAGUCUAUCAUUAAUCAUUUUCUUAAAAUCUUAUUAUAAUUUAUAUGACUUUAGCAUAAAUAUCAGAGGUGAUUUUGGUUUGAAGAAACAUUUCUUUUCUUAGAUAAAUGCAUAUACUCUUUAUCAUUAUAUCUUGCUUUGAAUAAAUCAAUGGACUUAUAUGAUAUAAAUUGUCUUUAUAAAUAACCAAAAUAAAUAAUAAACAGAGGAUAAAAAAAUAACAGUGUACUCCUGUUUAUUAAACAAGUCACCGAAAUUAAAUUCCUCUAAUAUUUGGAAAAAUAAAGACAAAUAUCAAAACUUUAAGUCUUGUAAAAUUGAUCUAGCCUUUCAAUUGAUAUAAACUAGCAUGUCAUCAACUACUGUUUGAAGCUUUCUUCACUUAAUCUCUUGGUUUCCUGAAAACCAAAUAAAUGAAUUACAAAUAAGAUUAGUUAUCUCAGAAUUCAUUAUUGUAUGAAUCUAUAGAAAUCUUUAGGAAGCUUAAAGAUUUCUUAUACCUGAUUUUAAUAAUUUUAGGACAAUCUUUCUUCCAGUGACCAUUCUGUCCACAUUUGUAACACUUGCCUUUUGGCUUGCCACUUCUUUUAGUGGACAGUUUGCCGAUCCCAACUCUUGCUUGCUCAUUCUUGUCUUUCGACUUAAGCCUUAAAGAGAAUCCUUUUUCAGGAAAUUUUCUGCUAUGAUAAAAUUCUUUUAUAGCAUGUAGUUCGUACAUUAAUUCAAUUAAGGUCAUAUCUUUAUUGUUUAAGAUAUAGCUGACCUUAAACUCUUUGAAUGUAUCAGGUAAAGAUUCAAUCACCAUGUUAAUCUUUGGUUUAUCAUUUAUUUGAACACCAUGAAUCUCUACCUCAUUCAAAUAUUCCAUCAUUUUGAGGACAUGAUCCCGAACUUUUGUGCCCUCUUCCAUCUUAGUAUCCGUAAUACGUUUUAAUGCUGCUUCUCUAGCAAAAUGAGUAUUUUUUCCAAACAUCUGAUGAAGACUAGCCAUUAUUCCAAUGGUUGUUUCCAUGCUCCGAUGUUUCUUAUGUCGUUCCACAGAAAUCGAAGCCAAUAUAUAGCGCUUAGUCAUUUUGUUAGCUUCGCACCAUUUCUCAUAAGGCUCAUUCUGAUUUCUAUAAUCGUAUAGCGAUGGUUCAGGAGGACAAGGCUGGGUCAACACAUAUUUGCAGCCCUUAGCAGUGAGAAUAUUAAAUAGAUUGUGUUUUCAAUCUAAAUAAUUUUCGCCAGUGAGUUCAUUUUAACAAAGAUAAUUAAUAAUGGGUUGAUGGAAGACAUUUUCUAAAUAAAAAAAAUGCACAUGCAUAAAUACUUUGAAACAAAAUUCACAAUAAAUGACAAAAAUACAAAAAAACAUAAAUGCAUUUUAAUUUAUUGUAACGAUAAUCUAGUACCGCUUUGACAAGCUAUCCGUUGGGGAAGUUACGUCUAUAUUUACUAGACCCAAUUAUCCAUUGGAUUAUUUACUUUCAUGUAGAGACAUGAUAAAUAAUUAUUGUUAUCCCUUUGGGCCUAAAUUUGUUAACAGAGCUUCGUUGGGAAGGUUAAUAAUAAAUUUUAGUUGAGUGUAUAACCAUUGUUUCAAUCUACGUAUUUUUCAUAUCAAUAGUCACCGUUGGGGUGAACAAUUGAUUGAAAAAAUAUUUCAAUUUUAUCUUUGAAGAAGUUCAUCAAAUAAAAUAUCUAAUAUAUAUACCCUCCGUAUGGAGCAUCACCGUAUCAUGAAGUCGAUGUAUAUAUAUAAUUUUAUUAUUGAACUAACAAUGGAGCCCGUGGGAAAAAUUAUCUUGAAUUUUCCCUCUCCCACUCAAUAUUUUAAAAAUUGGUUUUUCCUUUUUAAAACAUACAUAUUGUUAAUUGCAUGCUUCCUAUAAUAUUAUUUAGAUGAUAUCCAAUAUUAUUAAGCAAUCGCAAAUUACAAACAAUCUAGCGAGAUUCAUAAUUAAUGAAUGACAUGUUAUCAUGGCAUGUUUUCAUCCAAAACAUAACAUAUAGAAAAAUAAUUAAAUAAUCUUAAUUCAUGGCUUUCCUAAUAAUGAAAAAUACAUUAACCCUAAGCCUAAUCUUCAUUGGGCUUCUUGUCAAUGUCCAUCUUCCAUAAGCUUGUCUUUAAUGAACUAGGGGAAAUUGGGCUUUUAAAUUUAUAAUUGGUCCAAUUUUAAUUUUGAAAAGGAACAGGACACAAGGGAAAUAAAUAAAUAAAUAAAUUUAUUAAAGGGAAAAGGACAAACACACCCCCAACGUUUAGGUAAAGGGACAAAAACCUCCCUAAUGUUUUAAAAAAGACAUUUACACCAUAAUUUAUUAUAAUUUUACCAUUACCCUUCUAGCAUAUAAAAAAAUUAUUAGAUUAUCCAAUUUGACUAUAUAUUGUUAAUAAAAUUAUAAAUAUACUCUCAUUGCCUCAUUCCUCUAUUUAAAUUUUUAUCAAUAAUCAAUUUUAAAGAAAGACAUCUACACACUUGAAAAAAAUUGUAAAUAAAUUAUAAUUUAUAAAAAAUUGGUUAUGAAUACCAUAAUAAAUAACAUAGAAAAUUGGUUAUAAAUGUACAAUUUUAAAUGAUUGACAUGUGGAGAAUUGUUAAAUAUACAAGUUUAAAGUUUAAAUAAAAUUAGUUAUUAAUAACCAAUUUUAUUUUUUAAAUUAUAAUUUUUUUACAAUUUUUUUAGGUGUAUAGAUGUAUUUUUAAAAAAUUGGUUAUUGAUAAAAAUUUAAAUAGAGGAAUUUGGCAAUGAGGGUAUAUUUAUAAUUUUUUUUUAUAAUAUUCAAUUUGUCUAUUUAUAAUUUUAUUAACAAUAUAUAGACAAAUUGGAUAAUCUAAUAAUUUUUUUUAUAUGCUAGAAGGGUAUAAUGGUAAAAUUAAAAUAAAUUGGGGUGUAAAUAUCCUUUUUAAAACAUUAGGGGGAAUUUUGGUCCCUUUACCUAAACGUUGGGGGUGUGUUUGUCCUUUUCCCUUUAUUAAAAUAAAACUUUUGGACCAAAAAUAAAUUUAAUGUAUUCAAUUUUAUCUAUGCAUUUUAAACCAUUAAGCCCUAUUGAAAUUGGGGCUAAAGCUAUGAUUCAUUAAGCCCAAAACUAUUUUUGGACUUAAAUGCAAAAAAUUUAAACGUGUCUGCCCAAAAGAAAAAACUACGGAGCCAUAGGGACCUCAAUGAUAGAAACCAUUGAAACCCUAAAUCCAUCUUUUUCUCUUUCCUUUCUUCCCCAGCCGCCAUCUCCAAAAAAACAGCCAUUGUUCGCUAUUUUUGCACCAGACAGCCGCGCCAUUAACGCUGGAAACAAACCAACCCUGCGCGCGAUGCUUGCUGGAGCGCACGCUGCUGUUGCGUACGAUGCUACUGCGCGCGCCGCUAGCCAGGCUGGCUACGCGCAUCGCUUGCUGCCCGCAGCGCGCGCUGCUAGCAGCGUGUGCUGCCUGCUGCAUGCAUUGCCAACAUGCGCUUGCAGCUUGUACUGCACAUUGGCUGCAGCGAGUGCGCUGGUCGGUGGUCGCUAUUGAAAUUUUCGGCCUCCGUCGCUUUGAGCUCGUUUUCCAGUGAUGAUUUUUCAGUCAUUUACAAAUUUUCUAUGCCAAUUUUUGGCUUACAAAAUUUCCAUUAUAGUAAAAUAAAUCAGGAGGGAAACAUGGUGAUGAAAAACCACUCCUCUUGUUAUAGAUCCAAACAAAAAAUACAGCAGAAAAUCUAACCAUGAAUUAAGACAAACCAAAACAUGCUUUAUUCAUAUAUUAAACAAAUAAUAUAUAUCUGAAUAAAUUAUGCUACUCUAAUACAUAAAUUUCAAAAAUGAUUUCAUACAAUAUUCUUAUAUAUUAAUAUGGGAUGGCUCUAAUACCAAUUGUUAGGGAAAAAUACAAGUUUUUAAAUUUUUAUAAAACCUUUUUAAGAUCGUUCUCAUAUAAUAUAUAAGAAUACGUAAUCUAGAAAUCGUAUCUUGAAAAUCCGAUUUGACUUUUUCCGCUGAAGUGAUUUAGCUCCCAGAUCACGAUCCGUCACCACCACUCCUGUUAGAUCAUGAUCCGUCACCACCACGCUUGUUAGAACACGAACUGGCACCAAUGAACUUCUAGGUUAUAACUUAGAUUUGAUCUGCACUUGACGUGUGGGCGCCUUUAUCACUACCAAAGCAACUAGCACGAGAAAAUUUUUCUCUUAACAAUAGAGAGAAAAAUAUUUUUCUCUGAUCUGUAUAAAGUGGCUGCUCACAUUUUUCUUUAGAGAAAAUAAGUCUUUUUAUAUCUCCCUUUAGUGAAAACCCUAGACUCCAAAUAAUGAAAAACAAAACUCACGUUACUUGCUUUUUCUAUAAGGGACCCACCUUGUAAAAUAACAUAAGGCCCUUUACACACAAGCUAAUUAAAUGAAGCCUCCCACUAAAUGAUAUAUUUAGGCUUUUGACCCAAAUAGCUAGUUAUCUUGCUUAUUAAUCCGGUAGUGGUGCAGUCAAUUAAAUGAGCUAACAUGGGGAUCAUUUGGGAACAUACAAUAGUGGCUACAAUAAUUAGGUCUGUAAUUAAACUAGCCCAAUUAUUUAAUUCCAAAUCUACUCCACUAAAAGAUUGGAUCUAACUUCCAUAAUUGUAUGCUCGAAUAAUAAUUCGUUCCAAGCCAUAUUGAUUUCUUUACUGCACAAUCAUUUGUACCACAUCGUUAAUUAAAUUAAUAUCUGAACUGUCCAAUCAAUUUAAUAACAUCUUAUUCCUUGAUACUUACUGGUUUUCUCUAAUAAUCAUUUUCAACAUACUAAAUAUGUUGACACACUCUGGCCAGAGAAUUCUAUGAUCAAGUGCCGAAAACUCAUCAAGAGAUGUGUUGUACAAAUUCUAUAUUGUUAAUCUAUAACUCCAAUACUCAUAAAUGCUCCCACCAAGAUACCGGGUAAUCUAGACUACAAGUAUGUGUCAUGCCCAUUGGUAACCCAAAUGGAAUAACAAUUACAAUCAUGAAAUCAUAAUUAAUUCAAGAUUAAGAUUACAGUAAAAUCAAUGCCUAUGAGAUUUAAUAAGUCUGACAGUUAUUACAAAGUUAAUUAAAUCUCAUAUGUGAUCCUAUUCAAUGUAGUCGUACUACAUCAAUAAAUUCAUACAUGAUUAAGACAAAUCAUUCAAUGAAUUUAUUACAGUCUAUACCUAAAUAAAGUGUCCAACUUUAUUUAUCAACUGCGAACUAAAUUUAUUUAAUCAUAAGAUAACUUGUAUUUAUGUCUUAUGUGAAUCCACAUGGUGAUCACAUAAAUACAUAUAAUAUGAUUAAAUGGACUUUAAUAAAAAUAUUAAUGCAAUUAAGAUAUUUGAAUAAAAUACCUCAUUAAUUUUAUUAAUCAGAAAAAAUAUUUAUUACAAUUAAAUAAACACAUAUGCUUUUAAAGAGCAUAUUUUCCCAACAAUCUCCCACUAGCUCUUAAAGCAUAUCUGGCAUAUUGCACAUGCUCUAGGGCUCUAUGUGCAGGUUAUAAAGGUUUCCCACUAAUGGCCAUUGUAAUAAGAUCUGCCGUUUAGCAUCUAAUGCCACUUGAGGUACUGUCAUAUAACAUUUCUACACUAUUCCCUUAUAAGAUGAUACUUCCUCUUAAUAUUUUUUUGUUUCUUGUGUUUCCUUGGUUCCUUAGAUUGAGCUACCGCACCACUAUUAUCGCAAAAUAGUUUAAGGGGUGCAGUUACAGCAGGUACCACCUCAAGAUCUUGUAGGAACUUGCGGAGCCAUACAGCUUCUUUUGCAGCUUCGGAUGCAGCCACAUAUUCAGCUUCAGUUGUAGAGUAUGCGAUACAAGAUUGUUUCACACUUCUCCAAAUAAUAGCUCCACUUCCCAAUGUAAACACAUAGCCGGAAGUUGAUUUUUUGGAAUCCUUAUCUGACAUAAAGUCAUAAUCAGUAUAACCCACUGGAAUAAGUUCAUCACCAGAAUACACAAGCAUAUAAUUUUUAGUUCUUUUCAUAUACUUUAUAAUAUGCUCGACUGCAUUCCAGUAUUGAGGUCCAGGAUUAAAUUGAUAUCUGCAAACCAUUCAUACCGCAAAAUAGACGUCUGGCCUAGUGCAAAGCAUGACAUACAUGAGACUUCCCACAGCUUCUGUAUAGGGAACUCAUCUCAUUCUCUCCAUCUCUUCAGAUGUUUUGUAUGGAAACGUGAUGUCUUAUUAACAAAAAAAGAAAAAAAGAAAAAAAGAUUAUUCUCGGAAACUAACAUAGGUUAUUUUGUUUUCUAACAUUAAGUUUAAUUUUAAGGAGUAAAAUUCAUUGUUCCUGUAAUCUUCUAUUUUUCUUUUUAUAAUUCUUAAUAAAGCUUCUCCCCUUUGCCGAAGUUGGACAAAAAAAAAAAACUCUGAUAGUCAAAUUAUUUGUGUAAAUACAAAUAUUUUACUAAUUAAGGGCAUGUGUCUUUAAUUAGAAAACUUAAAAGAUAAUUGGCUAUGCAUAUCAUUUAUUAAUUCUUCCAAAAAUAUCAUAAGCUAACAAUUCCGGAGAAUAUCUACCGUCUGCAAGUUGAUUUUUGUAGCUUUUCAAUUGUUAGGAUGGCCUAUGUUUUCCAACAACCGAAAACUAAAGCCAGCUUGCUACCAUUUCCUUUGUCGCACAAACUAAUCACAUGCUCAAUCGAAGGUGUGGGGAAAAAAUUUGCCUUCUUGGUGCUUGAAUUAAUGUACAUUUUUUUUUUCAAAAUGCAAACGUUGCCUAAGAUGGUAAUUAACAUGUAAGAUAGAUUGUUACAUUUUUCUUAAUCUUUGGUUUGAUAUUCUGGACGAAAACGGUUUGCCGUUUCUUGAGAAAACGGCUAAUCGUUUAAGUCCAGAGAGCAUGUUUUUGUUCUGGGAUAAAAUGGCUCACCAUUAUUGAGAAAACGGCUAACCGUUUAACUCCAGAGAGAAUGUUUUAUGUUCUAGAGAAAAAACAGCUCACCGUUAUUGAGAAAACGGCUAACCGUUUAUUUACAGAAAACAACGUAUUUGACAUUCUGGAAUAAAACAGCUCACCGUUUAUUGAGAAAACGGCUAAGCGUUUAUUUCCAGAAAUGCGUCAACUGGAAAACGGUUAAGCAAGUUUGAAAUUUAAUUGUCAAUCAAUGCAAAUUCAAACCAAAAGAGUGUCUUUGAAGAAGCACCAUUUCGAAUGGUUGUAUUCUUUUAAAUAAACAUCUUCUUCAUUAAAAGAAAGAUAUACAAUUAGAUUUAUAAUUAGUUUUUACAGAUUUCAUAUAAGUUCUGGAAAUACAAUCUUAUUUGCUAAAGAUUGUAUUCAGGAUUUGAUAUAUCUUGGGUGUAAUUUGCCAUUAAACUCUAUAGCAAAUCAAGAUUGGUGAGGGCAAAUAAAACCUUAAAGGAAAGUGUGCAAACACGUCUCAAAUCCUAAGAAAUUGUCUCUAUUCUUUGCCUCCAUAUUAUUAAAUUCACCAACAAUCUUUAAGGUUUUAUUUAAAUGGAGGCUGAGAAGAGUUUGACAUCUUUUCUGAAUCCUAGUGUUCAUCUCGAUCAUUUUGAUGGAACUAAUUUCACUCGUUGGAAGGGAAAAUUGUUCUUUCUCCUUACUGUUCUUAUAGUGGCAUAUGUUCUAGAUUCGAAAUUGGAACCAUUUCCAGAACCAAGAGAAGAUGAUACCGAAGUUGUUAAGGCUGCAAGGAAACGUCGUGAAGAUGAUGAAUUGAUGUGCCGGGGUCAAAUACUCAAUACACUUUCUGACAGGUUAUACGAUCUCUACAAUUCUAUGACUUCUCCGGUGGAAAUUUGGAAUGUUCUUGAGUACAAAUACAAAACGGAGAAAGAAGGUACUGACAAAUUCCUUGUAUCUAAAUAUUUUGAAUUUAUUAUGGUAGACACAAAAUCUAUUCUUGAUCAAAUACAUGAGUUACAAAUUAUUGUUGCUAAGCUUCGAGAGUUAAAAGUUGAAAUUUCUGAAUCAUUUCAAGUUGGGGCUAUUAUUGCUAAAUUGCCUCAAAGUUGGAAUGAUUAUAGAAAGAAACUCCUUCAUAGUAAAGAGAACAUAACUUUAGAAGAAUUGCAAAAACACUUGGUAAUUAAAGAAGAGACUAGGUCUCGCGAAUCCAAGGAUAAGCAUGAUUCUACUAAAGUUAAUGUUGUUGAAGCUAGUAAAUUCUCAAAGAAUUUUAAAGUCAAGAAUGACAAGAAAUUCAAGAAGUCCAGCACACAAAAGUUUUCUGGAAAUUGUUUCUUUUAUGGUAAGAAAGGCCAUCGCCAAAGUGAUUGCAAAUUCAAGAAGAAAAAUGAAGAAGUGAAUUCCCAUAAAGCUAAUGUUAUUGAAAACAAAUCUGAAGAGAUUUGUGCUAUGGUUUCUGAAAUGCAAAUUGGCAUGAUUACCGAAACCAAUAUGGCUGAAACUAAGUCCUAUGAUUGGUGGCUCGAUUCGGGUGCAACAAUUCAUGUUUGUAAUGAUAAGAAAUUUUUCUUAUCAUACAAAGAAGAAACGGAAUGACAAAUGGUUCUCAUGGGGAACAAUAAUGCAGCCAUAGUAGCAGGGAAAGAAGUAGUUGAGAUCAACUUCACUUCUGGAAAGAAAGUCACAUUGUAUAAUGUCUUUCAUGUACCUUCCGUUAGAAAGAAUCUUAUUUAUGCUAGUUGUAUGUGUAAGCAUGGGCUUAAGAUUGUGCUUGAGGGUAAUACUUGUAUUGUCUCAAAGAAUGGAUUAUUUGUUGGGAAAGGGUAUUCUUGUGAUGGAAUGUACAAACUCAGCAUAAAUAAUAAUAAUAUCAACUUAGCUUAUAUUGUUGAGUCUUGUGAUAUUUGGCAUGCUAGAUUAGCACAUUUGAACUUUAGAUCUUUGAAAUACAUGUCUAAGCAUGGUUUGAUUAAUUGCAAUGAUGUUAAAGGUCAUAAGUGUGAAAUCUGCAUCCAAGCUAAAUUAACUAAGAAACAUUUUCCUAAAGCUGAACGAAAUACUCAAAUAUUGGAUUUAAUACAUACCGAUAUUUGUGAGUAUAAUGGCAUGUUAACAAGAGGAGGUAAGAGGUACUUAAUCACUUUUAUUGAUGAUUGUUCUAGAUACACUUAUGUGUAUUUACUUAGAACAAAAAAUGAAGCUUUUGAUAAAUUUAAAAUUUUCAAAGCUGAAGUUGAGAACCAAAAAGAUAAGAAAAUCAAAAUGGUUCGUAGUGAUAGAGGUGGUGAAUAUUUCUCAAUUGAAUUUAAUAAUUAUUGUGAAGAAUUUGGAAUUAUUCACCAAAGAUCAGCUCCAUUUACUCAUCAACAAAAUGGUUUGGCUGAAAUGAAGAAUAGGAUUUUCACGGAUAUGAUAAAUUCCAUGAUCCUUAAUGCAAAACUACCAAAUAAUUUGUGGGGGGAAGCAUUACUCAUUGCAUGUCAUAUUCAUAACAGAAUUACAUCUUUGAAAACACAUAUAUCUCCUUAUGAAAUUUGGAAAGGAAGAAAACCAAACUUGAUGUAUUUAAGAGUCUGGGGUUGUUUAGCUUUUUAUAAAAUACAUGAUCCUAAGUCAUCAAAGUUGAGUGCUAGAGGUAUAAAAAGUGUUUUCGUAGGAUAUGCUGAAAAUUUCAAGGCUUAUAGGUUGUUAGAUUUAGAUUCUAAUGUGAUUGUGGAAUCUAGAGAUGUUGAGUUUAUUGAGAAUAAAUUUCAACUUGAUUCUAAUAUUGAAUUAGAAUCAAUUAUUGAUCAACCAUGUGUUAAUACUCUUGUUACCUCCACUAACAAUAAUAAAAGGAAAGAGUCUAUGACAUCUUUCGAACCAAAGAGGAGUCAACGUGAAAAGAAAGAAAAGAGUUUAGCUCCGGAUUUUAUUUCAUCACAAGCACUACUCUUCUUGGUUGAAGGGGAUAGAAAGAAUGUACUUAACAAAGUACCAUUGUUGUUAAAUAUUGAAAAAGAUCCAAAGACAUUUAGCGAAGCUAUGUCUUCAAGAGACGCUUCCUUUUGGAGAGAGGUGGUAAAUGAUUAAAUGGAUUCGAUUAUGUCGAAUCAAACAUGGGUCUUGGUUGAUCUUCCUCCAGGAUCUAAACCAAUUAGCAGCAAAUGGGUAUUUAGAAUAAAGUACAAUAGUGAUGGUUCUUUGCAAACUUUUAAGGCUAGAUUAGUAGCCAAAGGGUUUAAGCAAAGAAAUGGGAUGAUUAUUUCGAUACAUAUGCUCCGGUAGCAAGGUUAACUUCUAUAAGAGUGCUAUUUGCAAUUGCUUCAUUGAACAAUUUGUAUGUGCAUCAAAUAGAUGUUAAAACAGCUUUUCUUAAUGGUGAUCUUGAUGAAGAAAUCUAUAUGGAACAACCUGAGGGAUUUGUUUUGCCAGGAAAUGAGAAAAAGGUAUGCAAGUUAGUCAAAUCUCUUUAUGGUUUAAAGCAAGCACCAAAACAAUGGCAUGAGAAGUUUGAUUCGGUAAUUUUAUCUCAUGGUUUUAAGCAUAAUAAUGCUGAUAAAUGUAUAUAUUUUAAAUUUACGAAUGAUUUUGGUGUGAUUAUAUGCUUGUAUAUUGAUGACUUGCUUAUCUUUGGAACAAAUAUGCAAGGAGUAGAUGAUACAAAGAAGUAUUUAACUUCACAGUUUAAGAUGAAAGAUCUUGGUGAAGUAGAUAUUAUCUUAGGUGUCAAAGUGAAUAAACAUAGUGGGGGUUACUCGUUGUGUCAAUCUCAUUAUAUAGAGAAAGUGCUUCUUAAAUUCAAUUAUUUGAAAUUUAAAGAAGCUAAUACCCCAUAUGAUUCUAGUAUUAAAUUACUAGAGAAUUCAGGCCGAGUAGUAGCACAACUAGAAUAUGCUAGUGCUAUUGGUAGCUUGAUGUAUGCUAUGCAUUGUACGAGGCCUGAUAUAGCAUUUGCAGUUUGCAAAAUGUCAAGAUUCACGAGUAACCCUAGUGUUGAACACUGGAAAGCAAUUGGUAUGAUACUUGGUUAUCUUAAAAGGACCAUUAAUUUGGGUUUGUUUUAUAAUGAUUAUCCUGAAGUACUGGAAGGAUAUUCAGAUGCUAGUUGGGUAACCAAUACAAGAGUUAAUAAAUCCACUUCUGGUUGGAUUUUUACAAUUGCUGGAGGAGCGGUUUCUUGGGCUUCAAAGAAACAAACGUGCAUAACUCAUUCAACAAUGGAAAGUGGGUUUAUAGCACUUGCAGCUGCAGGCAAAGAAGCAGAAUGGCUGAGAAAUUUGUUGUUUGAUAUAAUGUUGUGGCCACAACCGAUGCCAUCUAUUUCUUUGUACUGCGACAGUGAAGCUACAUUGUCUAGAGCUUAUAAUAAAGUGUAUAAUGGAAAGUCUAGACAUAUUAGCUUGAGACAUGAAUAUGUGAAACAAUUAAUAGCAGAUGGUGUUAUUAAUAUUGUUUAUGUUAUGACUAAUAAGAACCUAGCAGAUCCUUUAACAAAAGGUCUUUCAAGAGACUUAGUUAAGGAUACAUCUUUUGGAAUGAGAUUGAAACCUUUGCAUAAUAAAGUCACCAACGACGGUAACCCAACUAUGUAGUAGUUGUACCGUUACUCCAUAGUUAAAUGGGUAAUAACAAGUUGUUAUGUGACUGGUUUGGCACCGAGUAAUAAAUAAUCUCAUUCGAGAGUUUCGAUGUAAAUAGCUACGAGGUUGAGGUUGAGUAUUUACUCUUAAUGAAGUUCAAGUCUUAUAGUAGCUAAAGACAUGAUUUGAAACUUCACCUAAGUGAACAUAAGAAAUGGUGUUGUUUCUAACAAGAUCAUGGUUUAAUCUUGUAAAUGUUCAUGAAUCCAAGAUAGAGCACAAGGCCGGAAUAGUGCUAACUAUUGGAACACAAUUUUGAAAUCUGGGAUAGCUUAUAUGUGAUGUAUCUCCGGUAUUUACUUAAGAGACAAAGUUUAAUGCUUAGCACACUAUUGUCUUGUAAAUACUUUGAAAUACACUCACUAAUUAAAGGUUAAAAUCGAAAGAUACCUUUUUGUAUGUAUAAGUUUAUCAUUAAUAAAUCUGAAAAAAAUAUUACAAUCUAGUGGGGAUUGUAAGAGAGAUUGUUACAUUUUUCUUAAUCUUUAGUUUGAUAUUCUGGACAAAAACGGUUUGCCGUUUCUUGAGAAAACGGCUAACCGUUUAAGUCCAGAGAGCAUGUUUUUGUUCUGGGAUAAAACGGCUCACCGUUAUUGAGAAAACGGCUAACCGUUUAACUCCAGAGAGAAUGUUUUAUGUUCUAGAGAAAAAUGGCUCACCGUUAUUGAGAAAAUGGCUAACCAUUUAUUUACAGAGAGCAACGUAUUUGACAUUCUGGAAUAAAAUGGCUCACCGUUUAUUGAGAAAACGGCUAACCGUUUAUUUCCAGAAAUGCGUCAACUGGAAAACGGUUAAGCAAGUUUGAAAUUUAAUUGUCAAUCAAUGCAAAUUCAAACCAAAAGAGUGUCUUUGAAGAAGUACCAUUUCGAAUGGUUGUAUUCUUUCAAAUAAACAUCUUCUUUAUUAAAAGAAAGAUAUACAAUUAGAUUUAUAAUUAGUUUUUACAGAUUUCAUAUAAGUUCUGGAAAUACAAUCUUAUUUGCUAAAGAUUGUAUUCAGGAUUUGAUAUAUCUUGGGGGUAAUUUGCCAUUAAAACUCUAUAGCAAAUCAAGAUUGGUGAGGGCAAAUAAAACCUUAAAGGAAAGUGUGCAAACACGUCUCAAAUCCUAAGAAAUUUUCUCUAUUCUUUGCCUCCAUAUUAUUAAAUUCACCAACAUAACAUGCAUCAUGUUUGCUAUCGUUAUUGAUUUUUCUUGUUUUCUUUAAUUAUUUUUCUAGAAUUUUAGGUCUCUACUCCUCAUCAAUUUAAUUUCGUAACAAUAAAAUUACCUUAUAUACUUGAAAUAGACUUUCCAAAUUUUAGAAAAACACGUUCAAAUUUCGAAUUCCUAAUAAUCUUUUUUGUGGGAUGCUAUGAGAUAUUCUCGUAGCUCACUAAUUUUGUAAGAGGCAUUAAGCGUGACAUGCCUAGAUAGUAGUUCAACAAUUAAGAAUUUGAGAACUUAAGUUUUAACUUAAUUUGAAUGGAAUUUGUUAUACUCUCAGGGAGUGUGUUUAAAUAUCAUCAUGAAGUGCGAGCACAAUUAGAUUGAUCUAGAGUUAGUUUUUAGUAGUUUCUAAAAAGUAAAAUUAAUAUUACUAUAAAUGACAUUGAUUAAUUGAUUGUCACUUCCUCGCUUCACUCUUUAGGGAAUUAGAGUAAAGAUUGGAGUCCUUUUGUGUGCAUAUUUAUAAAUAAAUUUGAUCUAUUUUAAAUCCAAAUAUCUUUUCUACACUAUUAUAAAACUAUCAUAUUAUUUAGAACAUCAAACUCAUAUUAAUUCAAGCUAACCAUAUAAAUGAUCCCAAGAAAUAUAUUUGCCAACCAAAUUGUAAGUAGGAUUCUAUUAAAAAGCUUUCAAAUUAAUUCUUAAAAAAAUGAAAAAGGUAGAAGGGUAAACAACAAUACUUUCAACAAGCUACCAUAUAUAUAUAUAUAUAUAUAUAUAUAUAUAUACACAUUAUUAAUUAAUUUUGAGAUCUUAAAGCACUUUCCCCGUACAACGACACAACGUGUUGUAAAAUCAAGCUAAAACAACACAACAAAAAACUUCGACCCUCAUUCAAUGAAAGUAUGAAACGCCAGUGCAAAUUUUGUCAUAUUUUUGGGGGCCACCGCCAAUUUGCAUCGUUUCCCCUGUUCUUUUGGAUGCUCGCUGGCAAACAAGUGGGUCGAAUUAAAAAACUAAUAUUAUUAUCAUUUCAUAUCUAAAAAUAAAUAUUAAAAAAAGCAUUAUUAUUUAACAACCCAUUAUUCCCUUUCGAUCAAAACUAUACAUAAAAUACUAAAUAUCAAGCAGCAACCAUUAAUAUAUUGAGAAUAUAAAUAAUUAAAAAGAAAAAAAACAGCACACUGGUUUCAGUUUUUAUAUAUCACAUAUGCACAGCAAGAUUGACACUUCUAUCCUAUUUUACCUAACAGGGUUAAAGAUCCACAUGGCUUUACCAAUGAGUGAAAGCGAAACAAGGACAAUUAAUCAAAUAAUAAUUAACUUCUCUUUUAUUUGGACUCUUUGGUCAAAGCAAUGAUGUAAGCUUCGCUCUAUAUACUAAGCUUAUAACCUAAGCUGUCCAGCAAAUUAAACAUACACUUCAAUCACAAGGUUUCUUGUUUUUGUAGUAGUUUCAUGGCAGUUUGAGUUUCUAUCUCUUCUUCCAAACCCUAGCUUAUAUAAUCAAACACUCGCAGUCUCUCUCUCUCUCUCUCUCUCUCUGGCUAGCUAGCUUAGCAACAACAUGGCUGCAGGCUUGGGAGCCAAGAGCAACAACAAUACUGACCCUCAAAACCAAAAAACUCUUGCGGAUUUUGAUCCCCAAAAGAAACCAAAAAGAAAUCUGUAUGCCUCCGGCGCUGCCAUUUUGGCUUCCAUGACUUCAAUCUUACUAGGUUAUGGUAAGUUAACUUUACAAGAACCCUUUCUUGUAUCUAUUAGUUUGCUUUAUAUCGUGAUUCACGAAACAUGCAUCAUGGAGAUGGAAGUAAUAAGGUUUCUUUGUGAAGAAAAUCUUCUCAGAAAGUGGAUAAGUUUUGUGUGGGUGUUAGUCGGUUUAACAGGAAAAAAAACUGUUUAAAUUAGUAUAAGAAAUUAAGAGUUCGAAUAUCUCUGUCAUAAGAUUUUAUUUCAUGCAUGCGUAAUUGGUUCUGCAUGCAUUAAUUAAUUAAUAUUAUAUUUUUUUUUGGUGUUCUUUUCUUGUAGACAUUGGAGUAAUGAGUGGAGCUGCACUCUACAUCAAAGACGACUUUAAAGUCAGUGACACAAAAAUCGAGAUCUUAAUUGGAAUCUUGAAUAUUUACUCACUCUUCGGCUCACUGGCCGCCGGCGUAACCUCCGACUGGAUUGGCCGCCGGUACACUAUCGUGUUAGCCGGGGCCAUCUUCUUCGCCGGAGCGCUGCUCAUGGGGUUUGCCACAAACUAUGCUUUCCUCAUGGGGGGUCGCUUCGUCGCCGGCGUCGGCGUCGGAUACGCUGCAUUGAUCGCUCCCGUAUAC
rnacentral:lncRNA from 1 species